GACGAACGCUGGCGGCGUGCCUAAUACAUGCAAGUAGAACGCUGAAGCGAGGAGCUUGCUCUUCUUGGGUGAGUUGCGAACGGGUGAGUAACGCGUAGGUAACCUGCCUUGUAGCGGUGGAUAACUAUUGGAAACGAUAGCUAAUACCGCAUAACACUGGAUGACCCAUGUCACUUAUUUGAAAGGGGCCAAUGCUCCACUACAAGAUGGACCUACGUUGUAUUAGCUAGUAGGUGGGGUAACGGCCCACCAAGGCGACGAUACGUAGCCGACCUGAGUGGAGGCUGACCCACAGUGGAACGGGGACACGGUCCAGACUCCGCGGGGAGGGAGAGGAGGGGAAUAUUGGACAAGGGGGGAAAGCUUGACGAAGCCAUGCGGGGGGGGUGAAGAGGGUCUUGGGGGUGUAAAGCCGUUUGGAGGGGAAAGACGAGUGGGAGGUUGAAACGUCGCUGUUGUGACGGUACCUAAAGAAAAAGCACCGGCUAACUUCGUG
rnacentral:rRNA from 1 species